AUGAAGGGCCCCAAAUCUUCCAGUCGGAUGGAGUCAGGGGCUUCUCUUAGUAUCAUCGAAGCUGAAAUUUGCAACGCUGCUGAGCUUGGAAGCGGUGGGCAAAGUGGUGGAUUCCCCCCUGAAGCCGGUGUGUUCCAAGUUUGCACUGAAGCUACUAGUGGAUGGACCAUGUAUUUUUGUCAAAUUCUUAACGAUGUCUCUGUAGUUCUUUGUGAUUUACUACAACAAUGGCUCCUAUACUAUUUAGUCGCUGAAAAUUCCAUUGUUAUCAAGAGCUUCCUUUUAUUCUUAGUAAUUCAUACGGCACAGUUCUGUCUAUGA
rnacentral:rRNA from 1 species